rfam:Candidatus Stoquefichus sp. KLE1796 genomic scaffold Scaffold31, whole genome shotgun sequence.
AUAAAUGGUAGAGGUGCAAAAAGCAUGAGUACAUUAUCACAAUGUUUGGUGACAGUGAUAAUGAAAAGGGCAAUUUGCCGAAGUGUAGUGAUGACACCAAUCAUCAUUAUGCUGGGUCAUUAUAGAAUAUAUAAUGGACUGUCACGUCAGUGGAGAGCUAUCUAAGUG